ACACAGUAACAUGGUUUCCAGCAGAACAUAGGCAAAGCAAAAGUUUACAGGAUUCAUCAUUAGGAGAGAGGGAAGCUGAAGAAGGAAAUUGUAAAAGGAAAACAUUAAACAUUCCCUGAGUGAAAGGUAGGGGAACCCCACUCACUUAGGGAACAGCUGCACCACCUCUCCAGACUCUGGCUCAGUCCAGAAAAAUUCCAUGAGUGAGGGGGGCAUGAAGGCAUGGCCCACAGUACUUUAACUGUGGUGGCUGUCCCUGGCUUGCCCACUCUCUUGCUGUCCAAUCACAUGCAGUUCAAUUCUCCCGAGAAAACUGCAGGCGCGAUGGUUCUCCACUGAUUGUCUUUGUUGCAGUCCUUGAACUCUCAAGGUUGCAGAAGUUGCUAGGGUUCUAACUGUCGAAGUGAAUCGUGCUCCUCAGUGUCGAGGGUCAGCGUGCACUGUUUCUUUCAUGGAACACGAUUAACAACUAAAACAAAGGAAAGAUCAGACCGGGUGUGCGGCUCAGGUGACAACGGUGUUCCUGUUCAGGCCAGUUUCCUGCUCUUCCUACCAAACUGGUCAAAGCAAUUAAAUGUGUGAACUGUGUUAUUUAUGAGUUUCCAGGGCUGUAAAAGUCAUGUCUGUGCUAAGAGACCAAAAAUACAUAUGCCUUGAACACCACAGCAAACACCCUCUUCUGUCAAACAAACAGAUAUUCUCUUCUCCAAAAUCAAAACCUCCACCAACUCAGAAAGUUAGCACAGGACGGAUUUCUCGCAGAGAGUGCCUCUCUAGGCAGGUGAGCCGUGCAUGGGGCCCAGCGACAGUUGCCGAUUGUGAUUUAUUAGUGGAGGAAAAUUUGGAAUUGGACUUUACCGUUGGGAUUUACUUGCAUUUGAAAGCAAUGCAGUUAGCAGUCCAUCUUUCAACACUGAAUGUAUUUUCUCUGCUUUUAUAUCUUUCUGAUGAAUUAAGCACUUAUGUGAGGUGAGGGAUUGAAAACACUAGCAGCCUAAUCUCUCAGUAGAUCUGCUUGCCAGAUAACAGCUGUAUGGAAAAACACGGGGACCAAUUUUACAUUGUUUCUCCACCAAUUCAUACCAGCCGUGAACUGUGAUGCUCCCCCCAAUUCUACAAUGGGCAGAUAAUGAGAGUUCCUUGCCCUCCAGUUCUCCAAGCCGUUUCGAAGAAGACCUGCUAAUUGAAUUCAGUUGUUUGCAGUUUUAAAUGUUCAUGCUUUCCACAAAACAAGAAUAUAUUAAACUCAUUUCAUCUGUCAUCCAAGAAGAAUUGGAGCCUGCAUUUUUAUUACCAACUGACUUGUGUGUUCAUCUUUAUCCCAGAUUUUUUUUGAAAUGUUUACAAUGUAAUUAAAAACAAUCAAGUCAAAUGAUGUAUUUGAAUUGUUCCCUUUGGGAGAAGAUAAAGGAGAAAAUAUAGCUACAAUUGCUUCAUUUUUGCUGAGUAUUUCUGCCUUCUCAACAGAAAUACAUCAUGUAUCUGCUCACCUAGAGCGUUUUGUAAUGUCACUGGUGAUUUAACAAUUACAAAAUAUUGUAAUUAAAUGUUCAAAUGCUC
ensembl:lncRNA novel transcript, sense intronic to ZNF438